UUCGGUGGUCAUAGCGUGAGGGAAACGCCCGGUUACAUUCCGAACCCGGAAGCUAAGUCUCACAGCGCCGAUGGUACUGCAGGGGGGACCCUGUGGGAGAGUAGGACGCCGCCGAAC
rnacentral:rRNA from 1 species